GAGAAGGAGAGAGAAUUCACAGA
rnacentral:piRNA from 1 species